rnacentral:rRNA from 1 species
AGAGCGAACGCUGGCGGCAGGCUUAACACAUGCAAGUCGAACGGGCGUAGCAAUACGUCAGUGGCAGACGGGUGAGUAACGCGUGGGAACGUACCUUUUGGUUCGGAACAACACAGGGAAACUUGUGCUAAAUACCGGAUAAGCCCUUACGGGGAAAGAUUUAUCGCCGAAAGAUCGGCCCGCGUCUGAUUAGCUAGUUGGUAGGGUAACGGCCUACCAAGGCGACGAUCAGUAGCUGGUCUGAGAGGAUGAUCAGCCACAUUGGGACUGAGACACAGCCCAAACUCCUACGGGAGGCAGCAGUGGGGAAUAUUGGACAAUGGGCGAAAGCCUGAUCCAGCCAUGCCGCGUGAGUGAUGAAGGCCCUAGGGUUGUAAAGCUCUUUUGUGCGGGAAGAUAAUGACGGUACCGCAAGAAUAAGCCCGGCUAACUUCGUGCCAGCAGCCGC